CCUACGGGCAGCAGCAGUGAGGAAUAUUGGUCAAUGGACGAGAGUCUGAACCAGCCAAGUAGCGUGAAGGAUGACUGCCCUAUGGGUUGUAAACUUCUUUUAUAAAGGAAUAAAACGAGGCACGUGUGCCUUUUUGCAUGUACUUUAUGAAUAAGGAUCGGCUAACUCCGUGCCAGCAGCCGCGGUAAUACGGAGGAUCCGAGCGUUAUCCGGAUUUAUUGGGUUUAAAGGGAGCGUAGAUGGGUUGUUAAGUCAGUUGUGAAAGUUUGCGGCUCAACCGUAAAAUUGCAAUUGAUACUGGCAGUCGUGAGUACAGUUGAGGUAGGCGGAAUUCGUGGUGUAGCGGUGAAAUGCUUAGAUAUCACGAAGAACCCCGAUUGCGAAGGCAGCUUACUAAACUGUGACUGACAUUGAUGCUCGAAAGUGUGGGUAUCAAACAGGAUUAGAUACCCUGGUAGUC
rnacentral:rRNA from 1 species